AUCCCGCACCGAAAGUCCGAUACC
rnacentral:siRNA from 1 species